rnacentral:misc_RNA from 1 species
AUUUAAUGCAAAGAGAAUGUGAUCCUAAGCCAACUUCUGUUACUCUGGCUAUUAUGGUUCCUCGCUCUCCACAUUUGGGUGCUGGAAAAACUCUUCAUUGUUACGCGAUAAAGCAUGGGUUGGAUUGUCAAACGUUGGUAGCAAAUGCUUUUAUAUCCAUGUAUGCGAAAUCUGGGAAUAUUUUAGAUGCCGAUGCUACUUUUCGUGGAAUUUCUGAUAAAGAUGUUGUUUCAUGGAAUGCAAUGAUUGCAG